rnacentral:rRNA from 1 species
GACGAACGCUGGCGGCGUGCCUAAUACAUGCAAGUUGAGCGCUGAAGGUUGGUACUUGUACCAACUGGAUGAGCAGCAAACGGGUGAGUAACGCGUGGGGAAUCUGCCUUUGAGCGGGGGACAACAUUUGGAAACGAAUGCUAAUACCGCAUAAAAACUUUAAACACAAGUUUUAAGUUUGAAAGAUGCAAUUGCAUCACUCAAAGAUGAUCCCGCGUUGUAUUAGCUAGUUGGUGAGGUAAAGGCUCACCAAGGCGAUGAUACAUAGCCGACCUGAGAGGGUGAUCGGCCACAUUGGGACUGAGACACGGCCCAAACUCCUACGGGAGGCAGCAGUAGGGAAUCUUCGGCAAUGGACGAAAGUCUGACCGAGCAACGCCGCGUGAGUGAAGAAGGGUUUCGGAUCGUAAAACUCUGUUGGUAGAGAAGAACGUUGGUGAGAGUGGAAAGCUCAUCAAGUGACGGUAACUACCCAGAAAGGGACGGCUAACUACGUG